AAAGGGCACGGGGCAGAGGGACUAUGUUGUGAGCCUGCGAAAGAAGUUUGUGUGGGGACUGUGGGCAGUGAACGCGUUGGGAACAAUAUGGAAAACUGGGAGCCGCCUUGGAAUCUACAGGGCCGGGUAAGAGAAUGUCCGAAAGAAAAAUGAGCAGGUGCGGGAUGUGGCAGAGUCGGAGAAGAGUCCAGGGCGCCCGGAGUGGCUCCAGGAAGGACGGAAACCCCUGAGGGCUUUUGGGGGCGACUUCAAUCCAACAGGACCCACUCGAGCCAUCCACACUUGCCCCAGCCUCCUCCAAAACAGCACACUUUCCGGCUGAAGAAAAGAAGAAUGGUAUUCACGCAGUUCCCAUUUUACAGAUGAAAACAAGAGGACUUUUUCUGUGAAGUCAAGAAAGUGGUUACAAUGGUACUUUCAGCCUGUCCGAAUUAUGUAUUGCCCCUCCCCUUUUUAUUAAUAACAUUGAAGUGUGAUGGGACAACCACUGAAGCCGUCAGUUGAAACCUGCUGGGACUUUUUAGCCAUUCUCUUCAACAUAAAGAAUGGGUGUUUUUGGAGGGGGUGAGAGGAAUGGGGAAAUGUUGUCAAAGAGUACAACGUUUUAGUUGAG
rnacentral:lncRNA from 1 species